UAUUGAUUUCCAGCUAACAUUAUGUAAGGGGUGACACCAGGGGGUGUCGCUGUGGCCCCACAGGUAGAACCCUGAUAAAUAGGAAGUGGGUAGCCCAGCCCCUCGUGUGGUGCUAGUUUCUGUGGGGAGCCAGGCUGUUUGCUGGACCCACGCUGUGUUGGUCGCGUUUGAAGCGUUGGGUGAGUGGUAGGAGAAUAUUACGCCAUUUUGGAAGUGUGAAAGAGUGAUAGUGGUGUGCAGGUCUUAAUUGUGUUUUGUGAUAGGACCAAAUGCGGUUUUAAGCCAAGUGAUGGUGAGGACCCGUGGUGGUGAUUGAAGCUGUGUGUGAGGCGUUCAUGACAUGCAGCACUGUCCAUUGUCACCUGCUGUCCUUGUUAGUGUUUUUUGCUUUUGUUAGUCCGUCCCCUAGGGAGGUUAAAUUGUAUAUUCAGCCUCUGUGUUUGUGUGUACGGACGGACUGACUUAUUAAUCUUAAAUGUUUUUUUGUUUGUCUUGGUCACUUCCCCUAACCCUGCGCGGCCAAGUUAACCCUGUAAGACCCGAUCGUGUGAGGUGUUGAGUGUACAUUGCAGUGAAUUGCUGUGCUUUUUGUAAAUCGUCACAUAUUGAGUGGUUUGCAGUGGUUUUCUUUUGCGGAUUUGUUCCGCCUGAUUAUACACGUUUGCUGUGUCUUCGGGUCCCUUAAAGUUAUCUCUGGUACAAGUAGUUAUAGAAAAAGUUUGACCAGCCCUUUUCUAUGUAUAAUAAAUAAAGAAAUAUAUGCUACAGAU